GACAGAGGAUGCAAGCGUUACUCGGAAUUACUGGGCGUAAAGCGUGCGUAGGUGGUUCGUUAAGUCUGAUGUGAAAGCCCUGGGCUCAACCUGGGAAUGGCAUUGGAAACUGGCGACCUAGAGUGCGGUAGAGGGUAGUGGAAUUCCCGGUGUAGCAGUGAAAUGCGUAGAGAUCGGGAGGAACAUCCGUGGCGAAGGCGACUACCUGGACCAGCACUGACACUGAGGCACGAAAGCGUGGGGAGCAAACAGG
rnacentral:rRNA from 1 species